rnacentral:rRNA from 1 species
AGAGCGAACGCUGGCGGCAGGCCUAACACAUGCAAGUCGAACGGACUCUUCGGAGUUAGUGGCGGACGGGUGAGUAACACGUGGGAACGUGCCUUUAGGUUCGGAAUAGCUCCUGGAAACGGGUGGUAAUGCCGAAUGUGCCCUUCGGGGGAAAGAUUUAUCGCCUUUAGAGCGGCCCGCGUCUGAUUAGCUAGUUGGUGAGGUAAAGGCUCACCAAGGCUACGAUCAGUAGCUGGUCUGAGAGGAUGACCAGCCACAUUGGGACUGAGACACGGCCCAAACUCCUACGGGAGGCAGCAGUGGGAAUAUUGCACAAUGGGCGCAAGCCUGAUGCAGCAACGCCGCGUGAGGGACGACGGCCUUCGGGUUGUAAACCUCUUUAGUAGGAAGAAGCGAAAGUAGACGGUACCUGACAGAAAAAGACAACCGGCUAACUACGUAGCCAGCAGCCGC